CAGCAGCCGCGGUAAUCCGAAGGGGGCUAGCGUUACUCGGAAUUACUGGGCGUAAAGGGCGCGUAGGCGGCACGAUUAGUCAGGCGUGAAAUUCCUGGGCUCAACCUGGGGACUGCGCUUGAUACGGUCGAGCUAGAGGAUGGAAGAGGGUUGUGGAAUUCCCAGUGUAGAGGUGAAAUUCGUAGAUAUUGGGAAGAACACCGGUGGCGAAGGCGGCAACCUGGUCCAUUACUGACGCUGAGGCGCGACAGCGUGGGGAGCAAACAGGAUUAGAUACCCCUGUAGUCCCUGUCUCUUAUAC
rnacentral:rRNA from 1 species